CGGAGGGUGCAAGCGUUGUCCGGAUUUAUUGGGUUUAAAGGGUGCGUAGGUGGCUUGGUAAGUCCGGGGUGAAGACCCACAGCUCAACUGUGGAACUGCCCUCGGAUACUGGCAAGACUUGAGAGUCGUCGAGGGUGGCGGAAUGGACGGUGUAGCGGUGAAAUGCAUAGAUACCGUCCAGAACCCCCAAUUAGCGUAGGCAGCUGCCUAGGCGACAUCUGACACUGAGGCACGAAAGACGUGGGGGAGGCGAACAGGAUU
rnacentral:rRNA from 1 species